rnacentral:rRNA from 1 species
UACGUAGGGGGCAAGCGUUGUCCGGAUUUAUUGGGCGUAAAGAGCGUGUAGGCGGCCAUGCAGGUCCGUUGUGAAAACUCGAGGCUCAACCUCGAGACGCCGAUGGAAACCGCAUGGCUAGAGUCCGGAAGAGGAGAGUGGAAUUCCUGGUGUAGCGGUGAAAUGCGCAGAUAUCAGGAAGAACACCCGUGGCUAAGGCGGCUCUCUGGGACGGCACUGACGCUGAGACGCGAAAGCGUGGGGAGCGAACAGG